rnacentral:sRNA from 1 species
GCCGGGCAUGGUGGUGUAUGCCUGUAGUCCCAGCUACUCAGGAGGCUGAGGUGGGAAGAUCACUUGAGCCCAGGAGUUCAAGGCUAUAGUGAGCUAUGAUCAUGCCACUGCACUCCAGCCUGGGCAACACUGUGAGACCCUGUCUCAA